rnacentral:rRNA from 1 species
UUUUCAAAAACAUUUCUUUUAGUUUAGAUAAAAAGUAAAGCCUGCCCACUGAAUUUUAAAGGGCCGCGGUAUUAUGACCGUGCUAAGGUAGCAUAAUCAUUAGUCUCUUAAUUAGGGAAUAGAAUGAAUGGCUAAACUUAAAAGUGUUUUAUUUUUAUUUUAUUUUUGAAUUUUAAUUUUAAUUGAAAAUGUUUAAGUAAGAUAAAAAGACGAUAAGACCCUAUAGAGCUUAAUAUCACAAUAAUACUUAGUUUAUGGGGGAUAAAUUAAUUAUUGUUGUGAUGUUUAGUUGGGGCAACGUGAGAAUAAAAAAAAUUUCUUAAGAGUAUUUAAGCCUAAAAUUUAGAAUUGAAAAAGUUACCUUAGGGAUAACAGCGUUAUAAAUUUUGAGAGUUCUUAUCGAUAAAUUUGUUUGCGACCUCGAUGUUGAAUUAAAAAUUCUUAAAGGAGUAGUCAUUUUAUAAGAUAGUCUGUUCGACUAUAAAAAUUUUACAUGAUUUGAUUCCCAGACCGGA